UACAGAGGUCUCAAGCGUUGUUCGGAUUCAUUGGGCGUAAAGGGUGCGUAGGUGGCGCCGUAAGUCGGGUGUGAAAUCUCGGAGCUUAACUCCGAAACUGCAUUCGAUACUGCGGUGCUUGAGGACUGGAGAGGAGACUGGAAUUCAUGGUGUAGCAGUGAAAUGCGUAGAGAUCAUGAGGAAGACCAGUGGCGAAGGCGGGUCUCUGGACAGUUCCUGACGCUGAGGCACGAAGGCCAGGGGAGCAAACGGG
rnacentral:rRNA from 1 species